rnacentral:lncRNA from 1 species
CAAGCAUCUGCCUUCCUGGCCUUCGCUCUGGCUAUGACACCAAGCUGAGAAGAAGCAGAACCAUCCUUUGUUUCUCAGCAGACAGUUGGGACCCUGCAGCGGCACAGGGCCAGGGGCUGAGGCCUCCCGUGGUGACUUUCCUCACUAGGCUCAUAGGUGCAAAGGGACUUGUGGCCUGGCAUCUUCCUGGAGAUUCCUGGCUCCCAUGCCUACCAUAGAUGUGAUGACCACAGGCUGUGAAGUGGACCCCUUAAGACCCAGGCACACGGAGUCCAGAAUCCAGCCUGUCUCUGCAGAUGCAGGCAGAACGAGAGACCAGAGAGUUUAA